UACGGAGGGUGCAAGCAUUAAUCGGAUUUAUUGGGCGUAAAGGGCGCGUAGGCGGGUUUGUAAGUCAGAUGUGAAAUUCCGAAGCUCAACUUCGGAGCUGCAUUUGAAACUGCAAGUCUAGGGGAGUGGCGGAGAAAAUGGAAUUCCACGUGUAGCGGUGAAAUGCGUAGAUAUGUGGAAGAACGCCAGUGGCGAAAGCGGUUUUCUAGCUUAUUCCUGACGCUGAGGCGCGAGAGCAAGGGGAGCAAACAGG
rnacentral:rRNA from 1 species